rnacentral:rRNA from 1 species
AUUGAACGCUGGCGGCAUGCUUUACACAUGCAAGUCGAACGGCAGCACGGGUGCUUGCACCUGGUGGCGAGUGGCGAACGGGUGAGUAAUGCAUCGGAACGUGCCCAUGAGUGGGGGAUAGCCCGGCGAAAGCCGGAUUAAUACCGCAUACGCCCUUAGGGGGAAAGCGGGGGGAUCUUCGGGACCUCGCGUCUAUUGGAGCGGCCGAUGUCGGAUUAGCUAGUAGGUGAGGUAAAGGCUCACCUAGGCGACGGAUCCGUAGCUGGUCUGAGAGGAUGAUCAGCCACACUGGGACUGAGGCACGGCCCAGACUCCUACGGGAGGCAGCAGUGGGGAAUUUUGGACAAUGGGGGCAACCCUGAUCCAGCCAUGCCGCGUGAGUGAAGAAGGCCUACGGGUUGUAAAGCUCUUUCAGCCGGGAAGAAAACGCAACUCUCUAACAUAGGGUGUGGAUGACGGUACCGGAAGAAGAAGCACCGGCUAACUACGUGCCAG